AUAUUCAAUGUGUCUCACUUUAGGCCACAUCCAUCUGUAAUAUCAUAUGGCUCCUAAUCAUAUGAUAUGAAAUGAAUAUUAGUUAUUAUUAGUACUAUAUUUUAUAUACUAUGAUAUAUAUCAUUAUAUUUACAUUUUCCCAUAAACCUCUCUCCUUUGGCCCCUCUUUAAAUACCCCAUUGUUUCUUCACUUCUUUCUCUACCAUUAUAUCCUAUGUUCAUUAAAUAAGCUUUGUUCUCAUUUUUUUUUUCUAUUUUUUUUCCACUUAUUAUUAUUUUCUUAGUUUCAUUGGGAAAUUAUAUUGUACAUUGACGUGCACCACUAGUUGAUGAAGCUGCCAGCAUGAUCUCAACUUGCCUUUUAUUCUGAUUAAUCUUUCAAUUAAUCAUCAUCAACAACUUUAUAUUAAGGAAAGAUUAGAUCAUGUUGGUAGCUUCAUCUUUUGAUGGGAUCACGAAAAACAACAAUGAAGAAAUCAUUGGAUUGAACUAAUUAAGUUUAUUUAAUUAUUGUUUGUUUUAGUAGGUUUAAUUUCGCCAUUGAUGCAUGAGGGUUUCAACAACAAUGAAGGCACCUCGAAGAGAAGAACAUAUUUCAAGCUAGCUUUUAUUUUAAAUUCUUAUAUGUGGCUGGCCACAAAUUAUUUCGUUAGUGUAAUAGAGGUUACUUGGUCAGUGUUAGAAAGGUUAUUACUCGAUCAGUAUUACAGGGGUUACUUGAUCAAUAUUAUUGUCAUCAUUAAAUUUUGUAUGAA